rnacentral:rRNA from 1 species
CUACGGGAUGCAGCAGUGGGGAAUAUUGCGCAAUGGGCGAAAGCCUGACGCAGCAACGCCGCGUGAGGGGUGAAGGCCUUCGGGUUGUAAACCUCUUUCAGCAGGGAAGAAGCGAAAGUGACGGUACCUGCAGAAGAAGCACCGGCUAACUACGUGCCAGCAGCCGCGGUAAUACGUAGGGUGCAAGCGUUGUCCGGAUUUAUUGGGCGUAAAGAGCUCGUAGGCGGUUAGUCACGUCGGAUGUGAAAAUCCAAGGCUUAACCUUGGACCUGCAUUCGAUACGGGCUGACUAGAGUGUUUAGGGGAGACUGGAACUCCUGGUGUAGCGGUGAAAUGCGCAGAUAUCAGGAAGAACACCGAUGGCGAAGGCAGGUCUCUGGGCAACUACUGACGCUGAGGAGCGAAAGCGUGGGGAGCAAACAGGAUUAGAUACCCCUGUAGUC